UCUCGAUCCAUAGAAAGUGGUAAUUUAUGGUUAACGUUGGCGUUAAUUCACUUCAAUAGCAUCCUAGUUACACAUGCAAGCCAAGUUGGCAUCCCUAGGACGCGUACAAUUAUUCUAACCACUGAUAUAGCGUCUAUAGAAGUUAUAAUCGUUGGUAUUUCUCUCUGUUGUAUUUAUAUUCGUCUUAAUAAGAAGUUUAGUAACUGGUAGAAGCCAUCAUAAACAACAAUCCGAUUACGAAUAUGACCAAGUCCAAUUUUUUCAUGGUGUCAAGACUGAUUGUCAAGAUCUAGCAGAAGGCUCGUGGCGAAUAUAGGUUUCUAAACGAUUUCGUGCGUUCACUUCACGGAAAACAUUAACUCAUCUCCAAUUGAUGCGUUUACUCCCUCAAUAAAGCGAUCUUCACAUCUAUUUCUAUGAUUUGUUCCUCGUCAGACGUCUUCCCCGCUUAUUAGCAUGUUCUUUUCAAUGAAAUUACGAGGUUAUUGUGAAAUUUUGACUAUUCGAAAAAAUGAGAUAGAAUGGAACGUACAUAUGAAGCCAUGUAUAACAGUUAAAUCGCAAUAAUGAGGCCAAAUAGUAUGGCAAAUAAUCAUACGAGCCGAAUGACAUGAUCGUCAUCCAACACUACUAUUAUAUUCGUUUCGUAAAACGUAUUACUCGCUCAGGAUUGCCGGCAGUUACUUAAAUCGCCAAACGUAGGCGAUUCUUACAACAUGCUCGAGCACGCGGGAAUCACUUUCCCCGCAACCCCUUAUAAAUUUACCAUUAAUUCCUCCUUCCAGCUAUUUAAGUAAAAUAUCAAUUUUCAAUCAAUGAUUCAAGUACAAAAAUUAUAUCCUUCGAGAUUCCUAAUUACAUGUGUGACUAUAAUUACUACAGAACUAAAAACUAUAAGGAAGAUAUUUAACUUAUUUCAAAACCGGAAUGAGAGAGCAGAGAGGAGAUUAAUUUGUCUGUGUUUCCAGAUGAUUAAUGGAAUAAAAAUAAUAAAGAAAACAGACAAAAUUCACUCAGAUACAAUAAAAAGCGCAAGGUCGAUAUACAGAAAUAUAUAAGGCUCUCAAUGCAGAAUUAAUAACUCUUUUAUUCAUGAAAAUCACAACCACACGACGAUGAAUAGUACAAAACAUCCAGGAAUGAAUAUUGAAUGGACCUGUCAUAAACUUGUCUCAAAAAAGCAUCCAGUAGCCAUACCCAAUCACUCAGGACACCUUUACUCCAUUUAUAAUCUCGCUAAAUUAUUCAACCCUGAAAGGAUCAACCAGCAAAUCGAAAAAGCGCUUGAGCUCCUAUUACGAAAAUAAAGGGAUCACACUAAAUGACCUACAGGAUCAAUAGUUUCGCAAAACAACUCAUAGUAGUCUCUAUAGUACACACGUGGUUAGACUAUACCAAUUUGCUAUAAUGAUUCGCCUUUGGCAUAUUUACAGCCGCUAAUUUGUUUCCUAAUCUGAUUUCGUAAUUUCAGUAUAGUGUUGCGUUAUCUUGAAUAGCCGAUAUAGGCCAGUCUGUGACGGGACACUUAAUUAAUCCCGACAUAAUUAUCGCUAAUUAUAGCUGACACAGUGAAAAUGAGUUCGGGGUAGAGGUUGGCCUGCAUAGAAGCUCGUGCCCCAUAAGAGCGCCCAGAUUCUGUGUUUCUCUUUCUAAUGUUUGCCACGGAAUCACGGAGUGAACGUUUUGAUGCACCGUCUACUCCAUAAUCGGGGAUAAACGGUUAUACAUCCUGAGGGUUGCUCCCGGAUUCUCUCAAUGGGAUCGAAGCUGCUGGAAUUAGAAUCUUUUUUCUAAUUUAUCCUAGUCACUAUCAGAUUCAAUAGAGCUAACAUCUGAUCGUCAAUCCAGCAUAUUUAUUGCAUCGUAGAAGUAUCAACGUAACGCGUCUCCUCACUCCGUUCUCCGACAGUUUUAAACGAAGUCAAGGAAAUUAACUUUAAAUGGAGCGUUGGUGCUCGCAGAAAGCACUUUCAAAACUGUUGUAGCACCGAUUAAACCAGCAACUCAUCUUUCACGUCGGCCAAUCUUAGACCGCGAACCAGACGCAUCCUAUCCGAUUACGUCACGUUGUUUUCUCACACAUCCCCUGUCACUGGUGGAAGGACAAAACUGCUUGUGUUUGUCCUUCCUGCUUCUAUGGGGCUCAGUCCUGUGUCUUCAGUGCGAGAGAUUAGUUGAAAAUUUAAUCAUUAUUGACUUUAAAAAUAGGAAAAUAAAAGAUUUAGUGGUUAAGUAAUUACUUUAACCCACAUAUUGGAGUCUUUACAUUUUUACUUUUGUUUUAAAAUAAUAGUAAUUGUAAUUAUUAUAUAUUAGGUACAUCGUUUUCAUUAUUUUAUUUUUAUACGGUUAAUUAUUGGCUCACAUCAAUUUUCUUCUAAGAUAAUAAAAUGAAAUAAUAUAGAUGUAUUAAGACAUAAGAUGUAUUAAGACGUGCAUGGAAUUUCAAAUGGGUUAAUUAUUAAUACGUCCUUAAUGAUCAAUUUAGGACUCCCAAAUAAAUUCUAGAGCUAAUAAUAACUAGAUCAUACUGUAGCAAUAUAUUUUUAUGGUUCUAGACCAUAAUAAAAUCCAAAGUCCGAAGAAUGUUUCAAUCUAUUGAAAACUUAAGAAUACACGACGUAUAUUAAUCCAAUCCGUUAAUGUCGUGGAUGCUCAAAAAGGAACUCGACGUUAUGCGCUCAUUUAUCAUAUAUCAGUGUUUCGUAUGAAACGAACUGAUUUUACGCAGCGUCUAAUGAUUAAUCGACUACCAUUAAAAUGAAUCUCGCAAACGAUAGGGGAAUUGUCACUACGCCUACGCGAGUAUUUAUCUGCAGAUACGUAAUAAUCGUGCAAGAAAUAAAUAAAUAAAUGAAAACUAAAACUCUUUUCUAAAAGAAUUUACUUUUUUUUACGACUAAGUAUAAUGUCUACAUUUUAAAAGUUAGGAUGAAUAGUGAUGCCAGUCAGUCCAGUGUACUUGACUAUUUUGACACGUCGUGGAAUCUCAUCUGGGACGCAAUUUAGAUGUUACAAUAUCAGAGAAAGCGUCCUCUCAAGCACGUGCCAUGUUCAGGCUUCCUGGUGACAUAAUAUGAAAUAACAUCGAUCGAAACUCGAUCCAUUACGGAUGCUUCUCAAAACGUAUCCAGAUUAUUUUUUUCUGCGAGGAAUGAAACAUUUUUCAAUCAGGUUUCGUUCUUCCUACUUACUCGAUACAUCAGCAUGACGUGAACUCGAUUAAUGUGCGAUUUCACCAACUGUGAGAAAAUCAGUAAUUAUACAAUCAGUUACGGUAAAGUAAUAUUAUUUAUAUAAUCAACGAAGCUCUUGGAUAGACAGCAGUUAUUUGGAUUUCCUAUAUUGAUCGCAUCUGCUCUGAGACUGCUUCAGAUUCAUUUAUGUUAUGUACCUUUCAUUGUACGAGCACUAAUUUCUCAAAUGUUCUGUAAUAUUUUUAAUGCUUUCGUUAUUUCAAUUAUUUCUGCUAUUAUAAUAUUUUUCAUACCGUGUUACUUAUUUUUUACGUAUUUCAAUAUUUUU